rnacentral:rRNA from 1 species
UAGGGAAUCUUCGGCAAUGGACGAAAGUCUGACCGAGCAACGCCGCGUGAGUGAAGAAGGUUUUCGGAUCGUAAAACUCUGUUGUUAGAGAAGAACAAGGAUGAGAAGAGAAUGUUCAUCCCUUGACGGUAUCUAACCAGAAAGCCACGGCUAACUACGUGCCAGCAGCCGCGGUAAUACGUAGGUGGCAAGCGUUGUCCGGAUUUAUUGGGCGUAAAGCGAGCGCAGGCGGUUUCUUAAGUCUGAUGUGAAAGCCCCCGGCUCAACCGGGGAGGGUCAUUGGAAACUGGGAGACUUGAGUGCAGAAGAGGAGAGUGGAAUUCCAUGUGUAGCGGUGAAAUGCGUAGAUAUAUGGAGGAACACCAGUGGCGAAGGCGGCUCUCUGGUCUGUAACUGACGCUGAGGCUCGAAAGCGUGGGGAGCGAACAGG